UGCGCGCCCAGCGAAGGAGGGAGUCCGAGGAGCAGCGGCUAGUGGGAGCUUCGGACUCGUGGCCGAACCUGACGGAGGCGCUGGGAGCCGGGGGACCCGCCAGCCGCGCUGCCUGCAGUGCGGGGGCGGCUCGUGGGCGUCGGCGCUGGACCUGCGGGACCUGAUGCGGCGGGCCAAUGAGGUCAAAGAGGCAUUUGCUGCACGAGUGAAAUUUAAGGCCGAACCAAAAAGUCAAUAAUCAAGGACCACCGGGAAAGCAGCAGGUUCCAUAUGGAGGCAGAAGUAAGAGGGAUUAAAAAGCCAAGGCCCAGCUUCUGUAGGAGUUUCUGCCAGAGAGAUGAAGCAGGGCAGGUCAACACUCCUGGAGUGGCCAGUCUGAAUAUGGCAGCGGGACCUACACGCUGGGCCUGUCUCUAGGUGCCUGACUCCUGACACCGGGUUGAUUGCAGGUAGGCAACAAUACUGGCUUGGUCUGUGUGAGUUUGAUAAAGCAAGUCCUGGGGGUCUGGGCAUUGGUUGGUUUGCAUGUGAAAGGCCUGUUCCAGCCCAAGACUGCACAGCCCCUGAGAACUGGCUAGUCAGGGGAGGGAGAGUCUCUCCCCAGAUGACAAAGGCCAGAGCAUGAAGAAAAUGGAAAAUUAGAAGAUAUGAUUCAUGUAAUUGACCUUGUGGUGACAAAGGGACAAAUCACCACAUCCAAGAAAAGGCAAAACAGGGAGAAAGUCAUUGAUUUGUAAGGCUGAAAAUUCAGAUUCAUGUCCAGUAUUAGGUGAGGUUUGAUCCAGCAGUUCAGAUGACAUCCUCAAGGACUCAAAUUCAUCCUCCCUAUUCAGUCUUCCCUGACAGGCUCUAUGCAGAGACUUCCCAACUGCCCCCUUCCAUGUAGCCAAAACAGCUUUAUACCUGCCCAGACAGCUCAUCUUUAUGGAGAGCUUAGAUGUCAAUAGAAAGCAUGGAAACUUGUCUUUCACAGAAGGUCCAACAAAUACACUGGUUUUGAAUGGGUUAUGUGCUUGAAUUUGAACCAACCAUUGUCACAGGAGAGUGGAUAUGUGGAUGGCCUUGAGCCCAUCAUAUCUACUCCUACAGUGUGACAUCAAAUUAACAAAUUGACAUCCCUUCUUGGACUCUGAAGAUGAGAGAUAACAAUGAUUCCUGGGCGGUGGGGUGGGGGGGAUCAGUAAACCCAGGAAAGGGACAUAGAUGCUGGGCAUCCAAAAAAAUGUCCAUUAGUUAAAAUUUUUCACAUUCCUGGUACGAGUACUUUGGUCACAAUAGUAAGAGAGUCCAGAGUCCUCUUCCUCUCAGUAGAGACUAGCUUAGCUGGGCAGACAGGAAGUUAUACACAAUUGUUUAACAAGUGGAGUAGACAGGUAUCACCAGUUCCAGUUUGGUUACCUUACACAGUCCUUUCACUAAAGUACCCUCUCUCACAUCUUGGCCCACGUCAAAUGUUCCAUUUUAGCAGCACCCUUGGGAUGAAGUGGGGGAUUUUUAAAGGCCUCUACAGGGCGAGUAUGUCAGAACGGAAAUCUUUAUCAUCCUGUUUAUUCGCAGAACCAUCAAAGGCUCAUGAGCUCUGGGGCGGGACCCAGGUCAUCUUUAAUAGGAAAGAAAAUCCUCUGGAUGGUCCCAUUAGCUGAGAGGCUGCAAGGCUAAGCCUGGUCUGCCCCCAGUGCAUCGUGUACUGUGCGACCCAAUGAACAGAGUCCCUGAACACACGCUUGGCUGCCAGGGCUUGCCCUGCGGUUAGGGAGCACUUCUCAGACAGCUGGCAAUGAGCCAUAAGCUGGGUGGACUGGCAUUUUAACAUUUUAACUCGAAAGAUCUUCAGGGAGACUUUGAAAGACAUAGAGAUACCAUUUUUUAUAUGAUAAAAUAUUCUAAUUUUAUUCAGUGAAAUUAAUUUCAGUAUUUUAAAAUUAUGGUAUUGAGUGAUGGAAAUGACAAAGUCCCUGGAUCUGAAAAAGCUUUGCUCUGUUGAUGGUCACUCUGGGAUAGAAAAUGAAAAGGUCGAGGGUGAAAGCUACAUGAUCAAAGGCAAAGGGAAGGGAAAUGUGUGAAGUGUUUGGAGAGCAGCUUGACAAAUGUAUUUUAGUGAUGUAGGUAAGAGAACAUCUUAAACAGGGCAGAGAACGUUUGAGGACAUUUCAUUUGAUUCAGAGGGAAGGGGGACUCGUGAGAGGGAAGACGAGUUUCUAGUAUCUUUGAGCUGAUUUGUAGUUUUAAGCUGACUAAUAAGGAGGCAGCGACUUAGACACACUGAGGGCCCGCCACGCCCCCGCUGAUAGAAGAGCACUGAGACGGGACCUGUGGUCUUUUCCAGAACUCUUGUCUUUCAUGAUCUCGUGUUCCGUUGAUUCUCAGGAUGUAACGAAAGCAGUUCUUGGGGAAAUCUAUUCAGGAAGUGUCGUGCAGGGAGGAUUAGAAAGGAAGAGGCAGGAAGCUUCUGGAAUUGAUGGUCAAUGCCACUGCGCUAAGGACGACCUGGGAGGUUGGAGGCUGCAGAUGGACUUUAUAUUCCAACUUACUCAUUUUUUUAAAGGUGAAUGGGUCACAUCAGAAAAAUGGUAAAAAUAAUAAUAAUAAUAAUAAUAGUAAUGAAGGUAUUUCCUAAUGAAAUUCAUUAAGAAAGUUAUUAGAACUUCUUUUAUCAAAAUUCAAAUUGUGUAAUCAUCAUCUUUUCUCAUGUCUCGCUGGUCACGAUGCCUCUCUGGAUGGGGGUAAAUUAAUCUCUGGAGACUUCGGCAGCCAAUUUAGCAUUUAGCCACCUUCCCCCCCAACCCCCCCGAAGAUAGGUCUUCUCUGGUUGUCUCUUCGGUGUACAUAUGCUAAACCCUUUCUGAUACGCACCCCAAAGAGAUAUAUUCCACCUUCCUCCUCUGGAUUUUAAUGAAGCCUCUAAACCUCCUGGAGUAUAUGUGUAUAAAGGAGCACACAGGUCAGAAAGAAAGUUAGAGAUUGAAAAAGCAAACAGGCGGUUAGUAUUCUGGGAGCUUUAGGAGGUACAACUUGUGGUCCAAGAAGAGCGACUGGAAAGCCUGGACAAAUUACAAGUGACAUAAUUAAAAAAAAAAAAAUUGUGAAGGCCAGAAAGGCAGGAAAAGGUAGCUAUUCAUUUGAAAUGAAGUAUUCUCAGAGCACUAGGAUCUGUUUUUCUACUCAGGAUAGAAGUGACGAAGCAUGAAGAGGUAGAGGCAUGAAAAGAGGGGAGUAGCAAAGCCGGAUAAAAUGGACAAAUGAGGCAGAAGGUGAGAGAAGCGAAGCAAGAAUUCUCUCCAGUUACAAAGACCGAGUGUUCAGUUUCCAAGAAAAAGCCUGAGAGCAUGCUCUGUCCCUACAGAUGGACGGGCCCUUCCUUCUUCUAACUCAGCAUCUUGACUGAAGGGUAUCCUCAGGAGCAGGCUGACCACAGACUGAGUUUCCGUGAACCCCCGGCCAACCUGUAGACCGGAGGAACCCAGCCGAGACCCAAGCCACCCACAGGAGUUCAGUCUCGUUUCCUUUAAAAUGCAGAGCAACGGGAGCCACGGAGCACCCGUGUGGUGAUGAAAGAGGAGCUGCGAACCCCCUGGGAUGCAUUCCAAGUGUGCCUGCCCAAGUGUGCCAGCCAGGUUUUCUAGUGGAGGGACCAAUCCAAUCCUGGGGGAAGGUUAAGGAAAGCCAAGGCUCUUCAACCAAGGCUCUGGAAGACAGGAAGCGGCUGCUUGAAAAAAAAAAUCUCCUCCAGGAACUUAAAGAUUGGCCACCCAAAACAGUCUUCAUGUUUGCUUCUAGGGAAUUGCAGCCUACUGACCUUCAGUCCAAAUGCUGACAGCACCUUGCAUUUAAGUAGCAGGUUAGAGGUUAGAUCGGGUUUUAAAGCAAACUACGAACACAGGUGGGGCAGGUGUCGCGGUGCCCACUGUACAGAUGAAGAGAUGCCACCGUGGGGCGUGUGAAAGGACUUCUCACACAUGGUCUGCGGCAGAGCUGCCCUCGAAAGCCCUGCUUAUGACUGCACCGCAGACUUUCACUCCUGCUGGGAGGCCUUACGGUCAAUAUUGGCAUUUCCUUUUUCAAGAAUGUAACCGAAUUGAUGAGGCAAUUUUUCCUUUCUUGUAAAAGUAGGGAUAAUAUGACUUAGCUCAAGAGUUGUU